UUGGUUUUACUAUGGUGUGGCAGCUGGAGAAAUGGUAUUGUACGGACAGUGGGGUGAAAUAAUGGAGACUCAGAUGGUGGGAGUAACAAAAUCUCAGAUUAUUAAGCCAUUUAUGUGGCAGAUAAUAUCACACCUGUAAAUGUGCUAAGAAAGAGACGUCUGGCAGCUGUGUUUAAGUCCCCAUAUGUGAAUGAUUUUAGUUCAGGUGGCAACACAGUUGAAGAUAAGCAGAACAGUUUUGCUGCAAAUGUAAAGCUUCCUUUUGAAGCAUGUAUUACAGAAGAAGUUAGUUUUGAAAUGCUUCACGAGUUUGCCAAAUGGGUUGAUAUUGGUCUGAAGGGAAAAAGGGGAACGCCAUAUUCGAAGAAGUUCAACAAGUUAGUCCCGAUAUUUGAUUUUGGAAUCUCACAAAUCAAGGAAAAGUCAUGCUUUUUUGCACUAGAAUAUAGUGGUGAAGCCCUUUCUAAUACGGUAUGUCAGUUCAAUAUUGUAUCUCGUCGUGACAGGGUCUUGGGGAUAUUAUCAUUCCAUUGAGAGGUUCAUUUAUGUGUAUGAUCCCAUGAGAGGUGCAUUACAUGAUGCUAUUGUGUAUAAGGAGGUUGAGACAUAUGCUACUGUGCUCCCAUAUUUCAUGCAUGUUGUUGAUUUUUACAACAAAAGAAGUGAUAUUAAUUUGGAUGGUGGUCCAUACCACGGGAAGAAUAAGUUGGAUCCUUUCGAAGUGAUAUUGGUUGAUGAUCUGCCAUCGCAACAAGACACUGACUGUGGGGUCUAUAUGGUAUCAUUUGCAGAGUAUUUUAUUGAAUGCUAUACAACUUCGUAACCGGCUUGGUGUUUUGUUAUGGAACUAUGGAAGAAUGAAACAGACACAAAACUACGUCUCGGAUUCGGAGGUGACGAAAAGAAAUGAGCGUAAAGGUCUUGCAAAAAGACAGAAGUAGUAUUUGGUCUAAAAGUCCAUUGCUUUUGAUGUUAAAAUAAGAAGUAUCUUAGAUAUGACAUUGGUGACAAUUUAGGAUAUUAAUGCCUUCGUAUGUGAAA